GUGGGGAAUAUUGGACAAUGGGCGCAAGCCUGAUCCAGCCAUACCGCGUGGGUGAAGAAGGCCUUCGGGUUGUAAAGCCCUUUUGUUGGGAAAGAAAUCCAGCUGGCUAAUACCCGGUUGGGAUGACGGUACCCAAAGAAUAAGCACCGGCUAACUUCGUGCCAGCAGCCGCGGUAAUACGAAGGGUGCAAGCGUUACUCGGAAUUACUGGGCGUAAAGCGUGCGUAGGUGGUCGUUUAAGUCCGUUGUGAAAGCCCUGGGCUCAACCUGGGAACUGCAGUGGAUACUGGGCGACUAGAGUGUGGUAGAGGGUAGCGGAAUUCCUGGUGUAGCAGUGAAAUGCGUAGAGAUCAGGAGGAACAUCCAUGGCGAAGGCAGCUACCUGGACCAACACUGACACUGAGGCACGAAAGCGUGGGGAGCAAACAGG
rnacentral:rRNA from 1 species